CGCGGAACAGGUGAUACCAAGCGCACGGAUUGGCUGAUGAGAAGCUGAACCCGGCGAGAGGGACAUUUAAAAGAAGACUGAACAUAUGAGACUUUUAUUGUGAUUUAUUUUAUCUGAUUGUAACAUUUGUUUUUACUGAAUUUUUCCUGAUGAAGUCUAUUGUUUAGACGAAAUGCGUAGAACUGUUUGCAUUAUUGCCUGUAAUUCCUGUCACCUGCUGCUUCCAUUUAUCAUUUUGGAAAGAGGGACACAAAUAUCUGAUGGUCUUCUUGUAAGUGUUUCCAAUAAAUUGUGUUUUUUAUAACAUCAACAGUUCUAUACUAUGUUCAGUUUUUC